ACUCUGCUUCGGGGUCCGACUAAUCCAUGCGAGUCAUGGGGCUCCCUUUUGGGAGCACCGGCGAACGGCUCAGCAACACGUGGCUAACCUACCCUCGGGUGGGGGAUAACCUCGGGAAACUGAGGCUAAUCCCCCAUAGGGGAGGAGGUCUGGAAUGAUCCCUCCCCGAAAGGCAGUAAGCCGCCCGAGGAUGGGGCUGCGGCGGAUUAGGUAGUUGGUGGGGUAAUGGCCCACCAAGCCUACGAUCCGUACGGGCCCUGAGAGGGGGAGCCCGGAGAUGGACACUGAGACACGGGUCCAGGCCCUACGGGGCGCAGCAGGCGCGAAACCUCCGCAAUGCGCGAAAGCGCGACGGGGGGACCCCGAGUGCCCUGCCUCUGGCAGGGCUUUUCCGGAGUGUAAACAGCUCCGGGAAUAAGGGCUGGGCAAGUCCGGUGCCAGCAGCCGCGGUAAUACCGGCGGCCCAAGUGGUGGCCACUGUUAUUGGGCCUAAAGCGUCCGUAGCCGGCCCGGUAAGUCUCUGCUUAAAUCCCGCGGCUUAACCGCGGGGCUGGCAGAGAUACUGCCGGGCUUGGGACCGGGAGAGGCCGGGGGUACCCCAGGGGUAGCGGUGAAAUGCGUUGAUCCCUGGGGGACCACCUGUGGCGAAGGCGCCCGGCUGGAACGGGUCCGACGGUGAGGGACGAAGGCCGGGGGAGCAAACCGGAUUAGAUACCCGGGUAGUCCCGGCUGUAAACUCUGCGGACUAGGUGUCGCGUGCCCUUCGGGGGCACGCGGUGCCGAAGGGAAGCCGUUAAGUCCGCCGCCUGGGGAGUACGGUCGCAAGACUGAAACUUAAAGGAAUUGGCGGGGGAGCACUACAACGGGUGGAGCCUGCGGUUUAAUUGGAUUCAACGCCGGGAAUCUCACCAGGGGCGACGGCAGGAUGAAGGCCAGGUUGACGACCUUGCCAGACGCGCCGAGAGGUGGUGCAUGGCCGUCGUCAGCUCGUACCGUGAGGCGUCCUGUUAAGUCAGGUAACGAGCGAGACCCGUGCCCCAUGUUGCCAUCCUCCCCUCCGGGGGAGGGGCACU
rnacentral:rRNA from 1 species